rnacentral:rRNA from 1 species
GUACACUCCUGCGGGAGGCAGCAGUGGGGAAUAUUGGACAAUGGGCGCAAGCCUGAUCCAGCCAUGCCGCGUGAGUGAUGAAGGCCCUAGGGUUGUAAAGCUCUUUCACCGGUGAAGAUAAUGACGGUAACCGGAGAAGAAGCCCCGGCUAACUUCGUGCCAGCAGCCGCGGUAAUACGAAGGGGGCUAGCGUUGUUCGGAUUUACUGGGCGUAAAGCGCACGUAGGCGGACUAUUAAGUCAGGGGUGAAAUCCCGGGGCUCAACCCCGGAACUGCCUUUGAUACUGGUAGUCUUGAGUUCGAGAGAGGUGAGUGGAAUUCCGAGUGUAGAGGUGAAAUUCGUAGAUAUUCGGAGGAACACCAGUGGCGAAGGCGGCUCACUGGCUCGAUACUGACGCUGAGGUGCGAAAGCGUGGGGAGCAAACAGGAUUAGAAACCCUAGUAGUCCCAU